rnacentral:tRNA from 1 species
CAGAGAGUAGUUUAGUGCAAAAUUCUGGCUUUGGGAGCCAGGGAUGGAGGUUAGAAUCCUUCCUUUCUGA